rnacentral:rRNA from 1 species
UACGUAGGGGGCUAGCGUUGUCCGGAUUGACUGGGCGUAAAGCGCACGCAGGCGGUCGUGCACGUGGGGUGUGAAAACUGGCGGCUUAACUGCCAGAGGCCACCUCAUACGGCGCGACUCGAGCCCUGCAGAGGUCCAUGGAAUUGCCGGUGUAGUGGUGAAAUGCGUAGAUAUCGUAAGGAAGACCAGUGGCGAAGGCGGAUCUCUGGACAGUUACUGACACUGAGGCACGAAGGCCAGGGGAGCAAACGGG